AAGCGGCAGGGAUAUGCCUGGCCGUUUUGCCAAUCAAAGCUGCUUCAUCAGCAAAAGCAGGGGGGGCUGAAAUUGAAUUCAGCACACUAGCAAGACAUUUUGUUAAUGUAUUAUCCUCACAAUCUUUAGGUUUGAUAUCUGUUAGAUUAUCAUCA